GAGAAUUAUUUGACUCGCUAACGUCUCAAGUAACCAGCUGAUUUGCAUCCGUAGGCAAAUUCCCUGCUGAGGGCUGGAGGCCUGGGAGGUGCACCUUCCACCUCUCUGUCCUCCCUCUCCAGAUCCAUCUGGGCGGUGUCCCUCUGGUCAAAGCAGGUGGGACCCACCAGUCUGGGCUGUCCUCCACGGAUGCCAGAAAAUGCCCACUGCACACCACUUGGGAUUGGUGAAUUUCACAUAUACACAGGAAAAAAAAUCUGACCCCAAAAACAGCUGGAAAUUUUCAAGUUAGCUGGAAAAUGGUCCAGCCAAGAUGAACCAUACAACAUCACUAUGUCUUUUGAAUGCACAGGUAUUUUGUAAGGGUUGAAUAAAGGGAUGACUACUGAGAGCUGAGGAUUUGCUAAGAGAAGGUGUGAGAUGGCUCUGUCAAGCCAAGCUUGGGACAUUCUCCCUCUCAGAUCUUGUUGCAGUCAUGGACAAAGGCCCACAGUCUUGAGAAUGUCACCCAAGACCUUCCUUACCCUGGCCUGCAGGGCCCUGCAUACUUCUCCCCCAUCUGGAACCCCACAACACCUGACCCAAGUCCAUAAGAAGACCCACUGGAUGAAACCAUAGUAAUGACACGGCCACAUGUUUUUCACAAGAUGAUUCCGAUGCAUGUUCUGGCUUGAGGCUAGAUCCUUCUGUGCUUCUGAACUGAUCUCCUUGCCUUUUGACCUCCAGUCUAGCCUUCAUGUUUGAGCUCAAAUGCUCACUCUGCCUGGAAGCUCUAUCUCUUUCCCACCCAGAAGUACAAUUCACCUCCCUCAACUCUUA